GGUAUCUUUACUUGACAACUGAGCAAACUGACGCAAACAGAGGGUUAGUGACUUGCCCAGGGUCACAAUAAAAACCCGAGGCAGAAUUUAAACUCAGCUCUUCCUGACUCCAGGCACAGCCACUGUCAAUGCCAGUUUGGCUCUUCUUACAUUCCCUAGACUUGCCCCACACCCAGAAAAUAUGUGACUUUUCCCAGGAAAAUAAGAGAUGGGUCAGCUUCACAUUGAUCACCAUUUUGUCUCUCUAUUCAUCUUCCCCAAAGUUUGUCCACUCUGUUCCCUGGAAGUGCCUCUCCAUUCAAGUGAGUGAUUCUUGAUCUUCAUCUCUUUAGUUGUGUGACUUUUGACAAGUGAUUUAGCUUCUCUAGCCUUUAGUUUCUCUAUCUGUGGAAAGAUAGGAUGUAUCUGAAUGAUCACAAAAGGUCUUUUUCAGUUCUAAAGAAAAGAAAUCAAGGAGUAUAACAGAAAGAGAUGAUAGGCUCAUGGCAUUUAGAUCUGGAAGGGACUUCUAAACUGAUCUAUUCAUUUUACAUAUGGGGAAACAGAGGCAAAUGGAGUUUGUUUAAGUAACCUGUCCAAUGUCACAAAGUAAGUAGUAGAAGCAGAAGAAUAAGAUGCCUAUGAAGAAAUUGCUCUUUUGCAAAUCUAUUAUUGACUAUGUUUAAAUUAAUGUUUGUUGUAUAUAGGUGAUAGAGUGCCAUCUGUUCAGUGUGUAAUGAGAAAGAGAUGCAUAGCCCUUUAGGGAAGACAGUGGGUUAGAAUCCGUCUCCAUCAGCUAUCAGAAACAGGUUAUUCUCGCCGGGGCUGUUGAGGGAGAAGACAGCUGCACAAAGUUGGGGAGAAAAACAAAGCAAGGUCAGACAGAGGAUAGCAAUACUGAACUGGAGAUUGAUUCCAAGGGAAAGGAAAUAUAUUUAGCCUGGUUAAGUUAAUGAAACCUUAAUUAGGUUGAAGGGAAGCCUGUGUAUCUGGGAAUAAAUGACACUGCUGUCAAAAUCCUGUCAGAAGAUGAACAAAAGGGAGCAAAGAUUUUUUUGUCUUCCUCAAGUGGUCAAAAAAGAAUGCUGCUCCCACUGGAUCAGAGAAAGCCAGAAAGAAUAACAGACAGGAGACUAUAUUUAAAAGAUGUCAUCAGUACAACUGUAACAAGGAAAGGACAAAGGAGUUAACAGAGAGUCAUUGUUAUUGCUAUUUUGUAUAUGAGGUGGUAUUUUUUUCUUCAGUUUAUUAAUUAGCAGCACAGAUGCUAAGCUGUUUAUUAUCUUAUUAUUCAUUUACUAGCUUCUGCCAAACAUUUUGAAGUUUCAAAUUAAACAAUUUAACUUUGAUGCAUGUUUUCUAUAAUCUGUUUUUUCUCUAGAAUCUUUUCAAUGCUUGAUGGUAGCAUGGAGAUUGACUUCAAGUCAAAACAAAAUUCUAGAAGGUAAAAUAUAAAGGAUGAUCAGUGAACUCAAAAGGGAAAUAGUGAUCAAGAAGAGUAAAUAUGGCUUCAUCAAGAAUAAGUCAUGAAAAAUUAAUCUUAUUCCAGAUGAAAAGAAUUCUGUAGCUAUAAUUUACCUGGAAUUUUAGCAAAGUAUUGGACACCAAUGUUAUUCUUGGGAUAGGAAAGAGAUAUGGAGUAGGUACAAUGGUCAAUCUACAAGCUUUUAUUAAGCACCAGCUAUGUUCCAGGCACUAAGUUAAGCACAAGGGAGCCAAAACAAAACAAAAAAACAUUCUCUGUUUUGGAGAAACUCAAAGUUCAAUGUGGAAGACAAUAUGCAAACAACCAUGUACCAACAAGAUAUCUACAGGAUCCACUGAGGAGAGUCUCAGAGGUAAGGCUCUAAUAUUAGAGACUCGAAUAGUCUUCUUGAAGAAGUUAAAAAUUGAAGAAAGCUAGAGUAACAAGAUUGUGGAGAUGAAGAAGAAGAUAAUUCAAGCCAUGGGGAACACCCACUGAAAAUUCAUAAAGAUGAGAGAUAGAGGAUUAUGGGUAAGGAACAGCAAGGAGAUCAUUGUAGCUGAAACACAGGGUAUAUGGAGGACACUAAGGUGUAAGAACACUGGAAUUGAGGAAGGCAGAUUAUGAUUGGUUUUGAAAGUCAAACAGAGGAUUUUAUACUUGAUCCUGGAGAUAUUAGGGAGCCAUCAGAGAUUGUUGAAUAGUGGGGGUUCAUGGUUACCAAAUACCCAGCCCUUAUCAUUCUCCUGCCUCGGAACUGACACUUGGUAUUGAUUCUAGAACAGAAGGUAAGGGUUUGUGGGUUUGUUUCUUUUCUAAUAGUGAUGAAGUUCUAUACUAAGGUAGUGGUAGCUGUGUCAGUGGAGAAAAGCAGGAAGAGAUGAGAAAUGUUAUGAAGGUCUUUUUUACCAAGGAAGAAUACUGGAAGGCUGUAGAGAAAAGCAUUAUCACACAAAUGCAUGGACACGGGUUUAGAUGAUUACCUGUGCAGCAAGAAGUUCAAAGAGAAAUGGCUUGAUUAAUCCUGAAGAAGAGUGUACUGAAUGAAGUAGAAUGAAAAAGUCUUUAAAUGUAAAAUGUUGUCAAAUAAUAAGUUCUAUGUGCAAUGAAACUAAGACGAGAGAUGGAACAAGGAUAAAAUAAAAAAAUAUGGAGAGAAGAAAAAA